GAUGAACGCUAGCUACAGGCUUAACACAUGCAAGUCGAGGGGAAACGACAUCGAAAGCUUGCUUUUGAUGGGCGUCGACCGGCGCACGGGUGAGUAACGCGUAUCCAACCUGCCCACCACUUGGGGAUAACCUUGCGAAAGUAAGACUAAUACCCAAUGAUAUCUCUAGAAGACAUCUGAAAGAGAUUAAAGAUUUAUCGGUGAUGGAUGGGGAUGCGUCUGAUUAGCUUGUUGGCGGGGUAACGGCCCACCAAGGCGACGAUCAGUAGGGGUUCUGAGAGGAAGGUCCCCCACAUUGGAACUGAGACACGGUCCAAACUCCUACGGGAGGCAGCAGUGAGGAAUAUUGGUCAAUGGGCGAGAGCCUGAACCAGCCAAGUAGCGUGCAGGAAGACGGCCCUAUGGGCUGUAAACUGCUUUUAUAGGGGAUAAAGUGAGCACGUGUGGUUUUUUGCAUGUACCCUAUGAAUAAGGACCGGCUAAUUCCGUG
rnacentral:rRNA from 1 species